rnacentral:rRNA from 1 species
AGUUGCGAUCAUACCAGCACUAAUGCACCGGAUCCCAUCAGAACUCCGCAGUUAAGCGUACUUGGGCGAGAGUAGUACUAGGAUGGGUGACCCCCUGGGAAGUCCUCGUGUUGCAACCC